rnacentral:rRNA from 1 species
AUUGAACGCUGGCGGCAGGCCUAACACAUGCAAGUCGAGCGGAUGAAGGGAGCUUGCUCCUGGAUUCAGCGGCGGACGGGUGAGUAAUGCCUAGGAAUCUGCCUGGUAGUGGGGGAUAACGUCCGGAAACGGGCGCUAAUACCGCAUACGUCCUGAGGGAGAAAGUGGGGGAUCUUCGGACCUCACGCUAUCAGAUGAGCCUAGGUCGGAUUAGCUAGUUGGUGGGGUAAAGGCCUACCAAGGCGACGAUCCGUAACUGGUCUGAGAGGAUGAUCAGUCACACUGGUACUGAGACACGGUCCAGACUCCUACGGGAGGCACCAGUGGGGAAUAUUGGACAAUGGGCGAAAGCCUGAUCCAGCCAUGCCGCGUGUGUGAAGAAGGUCUUCGGAUUGUAAAGCACUUUAAGUUGGGAGGAAGGGCAGUAAGUUAAUACCUUGCUGUUUUGACGUUACCAACAGAAUAAGCACCGGCUAACUUCGUG